CCUACGGGAGGCAGCAGUGGGGAAUAUUGGACAAUGGGGGGAACCCUGAUCCAGCCAUGCCGCGUGUGUGAAGAAGGCCCUCGGGUUGUAAAGCACUUUCAGUGAGGAAGAACGCCUGGUGGUUAAUACCCAUCAGGAAAGACAUCACUCACAGAAGAAGCACCGGCUAACUCCGUGCCAGCAGCCGCGGUAAUACGGAGGGUGCGAGCGUUAAUCGGAAUUACUGGGCGUAAAGCGCGCGUAGGUGGCUUGAUAAGCCGGUUGUGAAAGCCCCGGGCUCAACCUGGGAACGGCAUCCGGAACUGUCAAGCUAGAGUGCAGGAGAGGAAGGUAGAAUUCCCGGUGUAGCGGUGAAAUGCGUAGAGAUCGGGAGGAAUACCAGUGGCGAAGGCGGCCUUCUGGACUGACACUGACACUGAGGUGCGAAAGCGUGAGUAGCAAACAGGAUUAGAUACCCUGGUAGUC
rnacentral:rRNA from 1 species